UGGAGUAUAGCCAAGUGGUAAGGCACCGGUUUUUGAUAUCGGCAUGCAAAGGUUCGAACCCUUUUACUCCAG
rnacentral:tRNA from 2 species